AAGGCGACGACGGGUAGCUGGUCUGAGAGGACGAUCAGCCACACUGGGACUGAGACACGGCCCAGACUCCUACGGGAGGCAGCAGUGGGGAAUAUUGCGCAAUGGGCGAAAGCCUGACGCAGCAACGCCGCGUGAGGGAUGACGGCCUUCGGGUUGUAAACCUCUUUCGAGCAGGGACGAUAAUGACGGUACCUGCAGAAGAAGCUCCGGCCAACUACGUGCCAGCAGCCGCGGUAAUACGUAGGGAGCGAGCGUUGUCCGGAUUCAUUGGGCGUAAAGAGCUCGUAGGCGGCUUGAUAAGUCGGAUGUGAAACCUCCAGGCUCAACCUGGAGUCGCCAUCCGAUACUGUCAUGGCUAGAGUCCGGUAGGGGCCCACGGAACUCCUGGUGUAGCGGUGAAAUGCGCAGAUAUCAGGAAGAACACCGGUGGCGAAGGCGGUGGGCUGGGCCGGUACUGACGCUGAGGAGCGAAAGCGUGGGGAGCGAACAGGAUUAGAUACCCUGGUAGUCCACGCCGUAAACGUUGGGCACUAGGUGUGGGACCUUAUCAACGGGUUCCGUGCCGUAGCU
rnacentral:rRNA from 1 species